GAAUUUUUUUCAGUCCAUCGCUGGUCCGUCGAAUAAUUUUGGGAAUGUUUUUUUGUCCGCUGUUAUUUUUUCUUUAGGCGUGCGAAAAUAAGUGAAAAAAAUGUAGUUUUCGGUGCACGAGGAACUCGAACUCUUAAUUUAAGAAAUAAUGUGCAAUAUCCUUCGAAACGAAUUAGUUUAAGUAGUUAUUUAGUGGUUUUUGCAAUAUUGUUUAAAUGGUAUAAGUAUUAUAGAGACUGAAAAAUUAUGGAAGAACAAAGCGAAACGUCGCCAGAAUGUGGAGUGGUUGCCGUUCCAGAAUCUCCGAAACCCACAGCCUUUACGAUAGAUUUCGGGGACGAAAAAAAGGUAGAUGUUCAGCGACAAAAGUCCUUGGCUGAAAAGUUUCAACAGAGACACAAAAGGGGUAAAUCCAUGUCCAAAUUAGAUGAUUGUAAUUUAACUCCGACCACUACGAUGCCUAAGAAACACCCCCUUAGUGGAAAUCUACCUAGGAAAUCGAGUUUUCAAUCAGAAGGUUACUUUUCAUCAGAUGAGAAAAUUGAAAGAAGCAAAAGUGCCAAAACAAGUUCAAAACGCUCAGAUCUAACACUACAAUUGAAGAACAGCGCAAUCGACAGAAUGACGCAGUCUUUCCCUAAUACGACCCUACCGUCACUUAACAGCCCCGAUCACUGUGACAUACAGAACGUGAGCAGUCCAGAAUUCGAACUUAUAAGUCCUUUCAGUCCAAACGUUAGUGAAGAGUUAGUGGAAUCGAUAGCUAACACUACUCUGUGCAGUGAAGAAAUUUCUCAAGAUUAUGAGGUACUAUCAAAAACCAUAGACUUGGACAUCGACAAAAAGUCGGACACUGUGAGCGAAACUGGUACUUACACGGUAGAAAUAGACAAUUAUUCGGAAGAACAAAGAGCGAGAAUGAGCAUAGAUAACGACUUCAAAAUCGAACACGUGUCUGUUCAGAAGAAAACCGAAGACUACAUAUUAAGUUUAUCGAAUCCGACACACUUCAGUGACGAUAAUAUAGCCCAGCCUUCCUCCAGGCUCUGUCCAGAAGAACCUACGGUCGAUAACAAGUCUUUGACAGAUAGAAUUAAGUUUAUGACUUUGCCACUCAAAUCACCAACAGGGAGGAGCUUUCCCAAUAAGUUACUUUCGCCUAUUUUGUCUCCCACGCAGAACUUAUCUUUGGUGGAGAAGGAAAUGCAGGCCCCAAACAGCCCCAGCCACAGACAUCAACGUGGGCAGGCAAAAGCGACCGACGAAGGUGCCGUCGUGUCCGUCACAUCUAGCGGCGCCUUUAGGGCGAAAAGCGAGGAGCAAAGGAGGUUGGAGAGGAAAUUAAGCCUCAGCAAGUCCGAGAUCCACGUGGAGGCUUACGUGGAUGGCAAAAUGUACAACGAACGCAAGCUGAACAAUGCCAGAACAAGUUCUUACAGACCGAACAAUCUCACCGCGAACAUAGUCAACGUACAGAGCCUAGAAGUGGCCGGAUGUGACGCAGAGGGCGUGGUCAGCGCCAGUCUAGUGUUUGGGAAAAUGGGCGGAGCCAUACCAGUAACCAGCGGUCUUCCACCUACACCCACCGGCAAAGCAUCCCCGACGAAAAUCCCAUCACCCCUUCACAGCUUAUCACGACCAAGGAGCAGAAACAGUUUUUCAGCUCCCACAGACGACAUGGACACCGAAUUCAUCCUGAAACCCACCCAAAACUAUAUCAACACGCUCCAACACAAACUAUCCUUAGACAGUGAUCAAGACAGCGAUUACGAGAUGAAGUAUGGCCUUCAAUUGAACAACACCGCUCAUUUGUUGAAACAGAAGAACUCGCACAUUAGACACAACUCGUUGGAUGAUAAAUCAACGAUUAACAACAAGCUGGAACACUUUCAAAACAAAAACCUGCAGAGCAUCGAUCAAACAUACAGCAAUUUGUUGAAUCAAUACAAGGUGGUGAACAAGAUAAACAAUUCGCCUAGCGACAGCCCUAUCAGGAGGUCCAGUAGUUUUUCCAAUCGGAAUCAGAUCAAUCAGGUGAAAAGCUCUAACUUAAAUGGUCGCCCCAAAGAAACAAACUUAUGUAACUCUCCUAGUUUGGGAAAGAACGGAGUUCAAAACAGUAUACAGAGGAGUUCUUCAACGGCUUCCAUCAAACCGAGCUUUGGACCCAAUGGACGAAGAAUUGAACACAAAAAGAUUGACAGGACCCAGUUUGGCGAUACCGAAUCCAGUUCGGAGGAAGACUUCGACAAGGAUCUGCUGCAGAAACGCAAAGACCUCGGUAACAUAUCGAACACGCGCUGCAACAGGACGUUUAGUUUGCGCAGGGCCCGUCUGGAUAGCGAGGGCGCCACCACCAAGCUGCGCUGCCCCAACACGCCCGAAAUGCGACGCAAAUCGUUCCAGCCCGAACCAGCGAAACCCGAACGAGCCAUAUCAGUUGAUAGGAAGUCGAUCAAAACGAACGAGGUACAAAGUAGGUAUUUACUGAACAUAAGCAAGAGAGUUACACCUCCCCCCGCUACCAAGGCACCUCCAAAGACAACGAGUAGCAAUGCGGCUUCCAAGACUGCGCUCAAGUCAGCUACAGCGCUAUCGAGAAACGAGGGAGGUCGAUUUAGUAUGCGAAACCUGAAACCGCCUACGACAAAUCCCUUGGCCAAAUCUUCAAAGAAGGACGGUAAAAAUGCUAAACAAGGUGGAGGCCGCAGUAAUUCUUCCCUUUCUAGUCGAGAAGUCGAGUUUCAGAAUUGGAAACGACGAAAAAGUUACGAUCCGAUGAAGGCAGCGGCGGAGGGCAAAAAGAAAGAAAUGCAAAAGAAACUGAACGAAAUGACAGGAUCUUAUGACAGUUCCGGCAGACCGGGACUUCCUAGUCCUGACAGUUCUCCUUCGCAUUCCGGUUCAGUACAUAGAUCUCAGGUAUCGCCUUAUAUUAAUAACAUGGUACCCGGUGAGCUCUCUUCUGACUGCUAACGAAUAUUUGCACCCACAACGAAGACUUAUUGUACAACUUUAAUUAAAUUGUUGUUCUCCAAGCUUCCAUGGGACAGCCGCGCUAGAACAACUGAUCAGUUCCGAUGACGAAGAUGAGAUGACCCUCUCUGCGGACGAGGGCCUCAGUCCCCCCACGCCGAGCCCCUGCGAAUUGAGCCCCACACGGGCCAGCCUAAGGCACGCUCUAUGGGACAAGAUACAUAAUCAGUGAGAAUUGCGCGGAAAUCAUUAAAAACAAUAACUUUGUUGUAGUAAUAUCAAAAACGCUCAUGUAGACAAAACAGAAGCAACCUUAUUUUUAAACGAGUAUUUCUACGAAUUUUUUACUCACAUGGCAGGUUUACUUUUUAGUAGCAAAAUGGUCUACAAAACAGUAAUUAAUGUUUUUAUUUUCAACGCCUGUAUUUUUAAAAUUAACCUCUUUAUAUUGAUACGAAAUUUUCUUACUAAGUUUUUCUAUUGACUAUAGAAGUUUUGCUAUAAAAAAGGGCCAUCCUGUACAUUUGUUUGAAAACUUUUACAUUAAUAUGCAUAAGCUACAUUGUUUUUAUUUUAGAAAUACCAAUAAUUAUUUGUCAUAUAUCAGGAAAUAUUAUAAGUUAAAAAUUACAGCUUUAGCGUACAAAAAAUAUAUUUGAAUCAUCCUAUUUAUCUGUGAAAAGAUUUUUAAAAUGUGCCCGCUAAUAAAUUAGAGUGAAAACCUCAUAUACAUAUAACUAUAUGUAUAUGAAAAACCUCAAAUCAUAAACCUGAUAUUGGGCUUUUUUGAAACACCGACUCACCCCGUAGGUAUAUAAAUUCAGCAUACAAUAAAUUAAAAAACAUAUUAAACAUUCAAAAUCUAUGCUUAUUUCCAAAAAAAUCUUCAAUUUUUUUAUUCUAUGGGCGUUUUUGAUAUUGCAAUUUAAAAUAUUAAAUUUCAACUAUUACCACAGUUUUUUUAUUUUAUAUAUCAAAAAUAAAAUGAAUUUAUUAGCUUACAUUUUUUAAAUAUUUUUUUGUGACAAAUCAAAAUUUUAACACUGCUAUAAAAAACAAUGAAAAUAAACAAAAACAGUCCUAGAACCUUUAAUUAUCUAUUAUUAUUUGAUUUCGAAGAUACAUUUUAUUUUUGAUCUAUAAACAUUUUUUGUUAAAGCUAAACUAUAGAUUUUGUAUAUUUAAGUUUGAAAAAAUAAAACUGCCUGUAUUUAUUACACGUUAGAUUUUUAUAUGACAUAAUGUACGAAUACGCACUCUUAUUGAAUGAUCUGUUAUUUCUUUGGACGUCAAUAGAUUUUUUUAGAGAGAUCUGUCCUUAAAUUAUAUUUACGAACUAUAUUUUUCUAUUUUCACUUUUAUUAAUAAUGUACAGAACAGAAAACAUUCUGUAGAUUAUAAAUAAAAGACACUGUAUUAUGUUCCUUGCACGUUUUUGCGUCUUAUAUUAUUAUUAUUUUUUUGAAUAGACGGGUAACGAUACUGUUUAUCAAAUAAAUUGUUGAAUUUUGUGUCUUAAAAAGUUGAUUUAUAGAGUAUCAAAUUGUUUAAUAAUGUAACCCGUUUAUCUGUGACAAGUAUUUCGUAUUUUUUUAAGUAGAUUUAAGCAAAUAUUUUUACCUGAUGUUAUUAUUUAUUCCUUAGUUGUUUAGAAGUAUUAAAAGAAAAUGAUGGACAGAAAACUGAAUUAUCAAUUUUAAGAAGUCUUGUACAACAAGGACUCUGUUAGAAACUAUGACUAUUAUUACUAACUCAAAUAUAUAGUAUAUAUCCAAUUAAACUCUUGUAUAUGUAUUAAAGAAGAAAAAAUAAACAUGUGAAAUAAUAAUAUAUAAAAUUGAGAUUAUGUUGUAGAUGUGCAAAAAUUUUGUUCUGAUAUUUUUGCGGGCAUCGACUUAGGCCAGUCCCUUGAAUAAUUUUUAGUUGUUCCAUAAACAAUAUGUGUAACUAAUAAUAAUAUUUUUUUUUUUAUUUAUAUAAACAGGAUUGUUCUGGAUCUUUUUACACUAUCUUUUGUAUAAAAACCUCUUGUAGAUUCCUCAUUUUUUGUGUUGCACGGGAUUGUUAUUAUUUUGUU